UAGGUUAUGUUUAUAUAAUAAUUAAAUUUGAUCAUGGUUAACAAGUUGGGUUAAAA
rnacentral:rRNA from 1 species